UCGCGAUUUAAACAACAAGUGUUCUUGCAUCGACUGCGUGCAAUGCAGUCGUUAGAGUCAGUGUUUAUUCGCAAAGGUGUUUUGCUCUUUUAAUAGUCGCACAGAUUGUAUUUAUAAAAGACAAUAGAGUUUCACGAAGUAAAUUCAGUGACCGUCCGUUAAUAAAUAACUAUCGCGGAUUAGAGUCAGUGCAUCAUUAAAGAGGAUCUCAUUCAAUUUCAAUGUCGAUCUACCUCAUGUCAACCACAUGCUAGCUACGAAUUAUCCAUCCUCAAUUUCGACUUAAAUCGUGGACGAGUGUUUUGGAGCCAUCGCAGAACUUCUUAAGUAAGAUCAUCGAGGGAUCAUCGAGGAAUAGAUUCAUCUGCGAUUGGAUAAUUCCGAUGUAUCGUCGAAUGGCUCGAUUUGUCAUCGAUUUUUACACAAGGAUAUGAGAAGGAUAAGAGAACACUCUCUUAUCGGCGAGCACAGACGUAGAUGUUCGCGGGCGCGAUUAAACUUCGUUUCGAUUGCUCGUAUCACCCCGAGAACGCGGAUUAGAGCAGAGUAGAGUCAUUGUUUUUCUAACACUCACAUGAAUAUUCGGACUCGAUUAAAAGUCCUACCAUGGACUUCGUUUUAUUUAAUUUGAUUAGAUUACCUCGUGAUCCGGGAUUUUAGAAUAGAGUCAGCGUUAUUUUAACACACAUGUGAACGUCUUGGAUGCGAUGAAAAGUUCUACCGAGGAUUGCGCUUUUAUUGUUCAAAAUUCGAAAAGCACGAACGGUCGUGUUUAAUAAUCCGUCACGUUUGAAUAUAAGGGUGUCGGAUGGUGGAGCUAUUUGUAAGUGGGAUCUCAUACAUCUCCUAUUAGUUAAGAAGUCUAAAGCUCCCGAAACGGACAGGCAUCGCGGAUCGGUAUAGCGGAACAUGGAUUUUAGAGUAGAGUCAGCAUUAUCCCGUGAGUCUCCAUAUGCAGCAACUUCCACGUAGUGGGACCUGGGUCGAUAAUAUUUGCGAUGUAUUGAAAUCUUAUGAUAAAUACGCAACGCAAGUAUUACCAGACGAAUGGCUGCAUAAUUCAAUGUAUUUUCAAAUUCUCUUCAAUUUAAUUCUGAUUAUAAUAUAAGUAUUACAAUUAUAAUAUACUAACGUUUUACAUUGUCAAUAAUACUUUUACAGAUAAAUAAAUAAGAUAUAAUU